rnacentral:rRNA from 1 species
AGUGAACGCUGGCGGUAGGCCUAACACAUGCAAGUCGAACGGCAGCACAGUAAGAGCUUGCUCUUACGGGUGGCGAGUGGCGGACGGGUGAGGAAUACAUCGGAAUCUACUUUUUCGUGGGGGAUAACGUAGAGAAACUUACGCUAAUACCGCAUACGACAUACGGGUGAAAGCAGGGGAUCUUCGGACCUUGCGCUGUUGAAUGAGCCGAUGUCGGAUUAGCUAGUUGGCGGGGUAAAGGCCCACCAAGGCGACGAUCCGUAGCUGGUCUGAGAGGGUGAUCGGCCACACUGGAACUGAGACACGGUCCAGACUCCUACGGGAGGCAGCAGUGGGGAAUAUUGGACAAUGGGCGCAAGCCUGAUCCAGCCAUGCCGCGUGGGUGAAGAAGGCCUUCGGGUUGUAAAGCCCUUUUGUUGGGAAAGAAAAGCAGCAGGAUAAUAUCCCGCUGUUCUGACGGUACCCAAAGAAAAAGCACCGGCUAACUUCGUG